AGAAAAGCGAAGACGGAAAAAAGUAGUUUACUUGGAAACAUCCAGAGAGAAUAGUACUUGGUGGAAGCUAUUUAUGUGGAAAUUAGACGAAAACCAUUCCAGAGCUGUAAUGCUGAAAUGAGUAUGUGUUACCGUAUGCCUGCGUUAAAGGAUAGGAUUUGAUAGAAUCUGAAGUGAAAAGUUAAGGUGGAACCGUGCUAAGUGCACCCUUAAG
rnacentral:ncRNA from 1 species